AAGUUUGAACAACGUCUUAACUAUUUUGGAGGACUGCCAGGGGCAAAUAUUCACCAGCGGAAUAGGUAAAUCUGGUCUUAUUGCUAACAGGUUAGCCGCUUCAUUGAGCUCCAUUGGUGUAUCAUCACAAUACGUCAGUGCUGUGGAAUGGAGGCAUGGAGAUCUAGGUAAACUAACUCCUGGUAGAGAUGUGUGUAUAUUUAUAUCUCACAGUGGAUCUACUGAUGAAACAGUGGAAGCAGCUGCUUCUGUCUUAGCUAAAGGAGUCACUACGAUAUCAAUCACUGGGAAACAA